rnacentral:rRNA from 1 species
UACAGAGGGUGCAAGCGUUAAUCGGAAUCACUGGGCUUAAAGCGUUCGUAGGCGGGCUUGCAGGCGCGUUGUGAAAGCCCCCGGCUCCAACCGGGGAACUGCUUCGCGAACCGCAAGUCUGAGUCAAGUAGGGGCGGGUCGGAACGAUAGGUGGAGCGGUGAAAUGCGUAGAUAUCUAUCGGAACGCCAAAGGUGAAGACAGGCCGCUGGGCUUGUACUGACGCUGAGGAACGAAAGCGUGGGGAGCAAACGGG